rnacentral:rRNA from 1 species
UACAGAGGGUGCGAGCGUUGUCCGGAAUCACUGGGCGUAAAGGGCGCGUAGGCGGCUUGGUAAGUCGGGGGUGAAACGCUGCGGCUCAACCGCAGCACUGCCUUCGAGACUGUCAGGCUUGAGCACGGUAGAGGCUGGUGGAAUUCCCGGUGUAGCGGUGGAAUGCGUAGAGAUCGGGAAGAACAUCGGUGGCGAAGGCGGCCAGCUGGGCCGUUGCUGACGCUGAGGCGCGACAGCGUGGGGAGCAAACAGG